rnacentral:rRNA from 1 species
UCCCGACUUACCAACCCGAUGCAAACUGCGAAUACCGGAGAAUGUUAUCACGGGAGACACACGGCGGGUGCUAACGUCCGUCGUGAAGAGGGAAACAACCCAGACCGCCAGCUAAGGUCCCAAAGUCAUGGUUAAGUGGGAAACGAUGUGGGAAGGCCCAGACAGCCAGGAUGUUGGCUUAGAAGCAGCCAUCAUUUAAAGAAAGCGUAAUAGCUCACUGGUCGAGUCGGCCUGCGCGGAAGAUGUAACGGGGCUAAACCAUGCACCGAAGCUGCGGCAGCGACGCUUAUGCGUUGUUGGGUAGGGGAGCGUUCUGUAAGCCUGUGAAGGUGUGCUGUGAGGCAUGCUGGAGGUAUCAGAAGUGCGAAUGCUGACAUAAGUAACGAUAAAGCGGGUGAAAAGCCCGCUCGCCGGAAGACCAAGGGUUCCUGUCCAACGUUAAUCGGGGCAGGGUGAGUCGACCCCUAAGGCGAGGCCGAAAGGCGUAGUCGA